rnacentral:rRNA from 1 species
GUGAGUAACACGUGGAUAACCUGCCCUCGGCACCGGGAUAGCCCGGGGAAACCCGGAUUAAUACCGGAUCGCCCUUCCGACCUUCGGGUCGGUCGGAAAAGGUAGCUUCGGCCUCCGGCCGAGGAUGGGUCCGCGGCGGAUUAGCUUGUUGGUGGGGUAACGGCCUACCAAGGCGACGAUCCGUAGCUGGUCUGAGAGGACGAUCAGCCACACUGGGACUGAGACACGGCCCAGACUCCUACGGGAGGCAGCAGUGGGGAAUCUUGCCCAAUGGGCGCAAGCCUGAGGCAGCGACGCCGCGUGAGGGAAGAAGGCCUUCGGGUUGUAAACCUCUUUCAGGAGGGACGAAGCCACUCGGGUUAAUAGCCCAGAGGGUGACGGUACCUCCAGAAGAAGCCCCGGCUAACUACGUGCCAGCAGCCGCGGUAAUACGUAGGGGGCAAGCGUUGUCCGGAUUUACUGGGCGUAAAGAGCGUGUAGGCGGCCAGGCAGGUCUGUUGUGAAAACUGGAGGCUCAACCUCCAGACGUCGACAGAAACCGCCUGGCUAGAGUCCGGAAGAGGAGAGUGGAAUUCCUGGUGUAGCGGUGAAAUGCGCAGAUAUCAGGAAGAACACCAAUGGCGAAGGCAGCUCUCUGGGACGGUACUGACGCUGAGACGCGAAAGCGUGGGGAGCGAACAGGAUUAGAUACCCUGGUAGUCCACGCCGUAAACGAUGGGUGCUAGGUGUGGGAGGUGUCGACUCCUCCCGUGCCGCAGCUAACGCAUUAAGCACCCCGCCUGGGGAGUACGGCCGCAAGGCUAAAACUCAAAGGAAUUGACGGGGGCCCGCACAAGCAGCGGAGCAUGUGGUUUAAUUCGAUGCAACGCGAAGAACCUUACCAGGGCUGACAUGCACUGGAAAUCCGUAGAAAUACGGCCCUCCUUCGGGACCAGUGCACAGGUGGUGCAUGGCUGUCGUCAGCUCG